rnacentral:rRNA from 1 species
UACGGGGGGGGCAAGCGUUGUUCGGAAUUACUGGGCGUAAAGGGCUCGUAGGCGGCCAACUAAGUCAGACGUGAAAUCCCUCGGCUUAACCGGGGAACUGCGUCUGAUACUGGAUGGCUUGAGUUUGGGAGAGGGAUGCGGAAUUCCAGGUGUAGCGGUGAAAUGCGUAGAGAUCGGGAAGAACACCGGUGGCGAAAGCGCUCUGCUGGACCACAACUGACGCUCACAGGACGAAAGCUAGGGGAGCGAAUGGG